UACGAAGGGACCGAGCGUUGUCCGGAAUCAUUGGGCGUAAAGAGCGUGUAGGCGGCUAUUUAAGUCCUGCGUGAAAUCCUGCGGCUCAACCGCAGACGGUCGUGGGAAACUGGAUGGCUAGAGUGCGGGAGAGGAGAGUGGAAUUCCCGGUGUAGCGGUGAAAUGCGCAGAUAUCGGGAAGAACACCCGUGGCGAAGGCGGCUCUCUGGACCGGUACUGACGCUGAGGCGCGAAAGCGUGGGGAGCAAACGGG
rnacentral:rRNA from 1 species